rnacentral:rRNA from 1 species
CUUCGGAGAGUUUGAUCCUGGCUCAGGACGAACGCUGGCGGCGUGCCUAAGCUUAUGCAAGUCGAACGCGAACGGCUCCUUCGGGAGCCUAGUAGAGUGGCAAACGGGUGAGUAACGCGUGGGUAACGUACCCUGAUCCUGGGAAUAACCCUCGGAAACGAGGGCUAAUACCGAAUGUGGCGAACGACCGGUUGGUCGCUCGCUAAAGGUGGCCUCUUCUAUGCUGCCGGGUUGGGAUCGGCCCGCGUCCCAUUAGCUAGUUGGUGAGGUAACGGCUCACCAAGGCCACGAUGGGUAGCCGGCCUGAGAGGGUGUACGGCCACACUGGCACUGAGACAAGGGCCAGUCCCCUAUGGGAGGCGCAGGCGGGAAUAGUUCACAAUGGGCGAAAGCCUGAUGACGCGACGCCGCGUGAGCGAAGAAGACCUUCGGGUUGUAAAGCUCUGUCAGGAGGGAAGAAGGCUCUACGGGUUAAUAGCCCGUGGAAUUGACGGUACCUCCAGAGGAAGCCCCGGCUAAAUACGUGCCAGCAGCCGCGGUAAUACGUAUGGGGCAAGCGUUGUCCGGAUUUACUGGGCGUAAAGGGCGCGUAGGCGGUUUGUUAAGUCGAAGGUGAAAUCCUCGGGCUCAACUCGAGAAUUGCCUUCGAUACUGGCAAACUAGAGUGGCGGAGAGGAAAGCGGAACUCUUGGUGUAACGGUGGAAUGUGUAGAUAUCAAGAGGAACACCGGUGGCGAAGGCGGCUUUCUGGACGCACACUGACGCUCAGGCGCGAAAGCGUGGGUAGCAAACAGGAUUAGAUACCCUGGUAGUCCACGCCAUAAACGAUGGGUACUAGGUGUCGGGGGUAUCGACCCCUCCGGUGCCGCAGUUAACGCACUAAGUACCCCGCCUGGGGAUUAUGGUCGCAAGGCUGAAACUCAAAGGAAUUGACGGGGCCCCGCACAAGCGGUGGAGCAUGUGGUUUAAUUCGACGCAACGCGAAGAACCUUACCUGGGCUUGACAUGCUUGGGACAGCGCUGGAAACAGCGUCUCUCCUUCGGGAGCCCUUGCACAGGUGCUGCAUGGCUGUCGUCAGCUCGUGUCGUGAGAUGUUGGGUUAAGUCCCGCAACGAGCGCAACCCUCGUUACUAGUUGCCAUCAGUUCGGCUGGGCACUCUAGUGAGACUGCCGGUGAUAAACCGGAGGAAGGUGAGGAUGAUGUCAAGUCAUCAUGGCCCUUACGCCCAGGGCUACACACGUGCUACAAUGGUCGGCACAAAGGGUCGCUAAGCCGCGAGGUGGAGCUAAUCCCAAAAAGCCGGCCUCAGUUCGGAUUGGAGUCUGCAACCCGACUCCAUGAAGGCGGAAUCGCUAGUAAUCGCGGAUCAGCAUGCCGCGGUGAAUAUGUUCCCGGGGCUUGUACACACCGCCCGUCAUAUCACCCGAGUCGGGGAUACCCGAAGUCCGUGACCCAACCAUUUGGAGGGAGCGGCCGAAGGUGUGCCUGGUAAGGGGGGUAAAGUCGUAACAAGGUAGCCGUACCGGAAGGUGCGGCUGGAUCACCUCCUUUCUA